GACGAACGCUGGCGGUGUGCUUCACACAUGCAAGUCGAACGAGGUAGCAAUACCUGGUGGCGGACGGGUGAGUAACGCGUGGGAAUCUGCCUUUAGAUGGGGGAUAACGGGUCGAAAGACUCGCUAAUACCGCAUAUGACGAAAGUUGAAAGGAGUAAUCCGUCUAAAGAUGAGCCCGCGUCCGAUUAGCUAGUUGGUAGAGUAAAAGCCUACCAAGGCGACGAUCGGUAGCUGGUCUGAGAGGAUGAUCAGCCACAAUGGGACUGAGACACGGCCCAUACUCCUACGGGAGGCAGCAGUGGGGAAUUUUACGCAAUGGGCGAAAGCCUGACGUAGCGACACCGCGUGAGCGAAGAAGCCCCUUGGGGUGUAAAGCUCUGUCAGCUGGAACGAAAAAUAGACGGUACCAGCAGAGGAAGCAUCGGCUAACUACGUG
rnacentral:rRNA from 1 species